UUUUUGCCACGUAAUGUAAGUGCUACUAUAAAUGGGAGAAGCUAUCGCAUGGUAAGAUGCAGAAUCGUUCUUUGACUUCCUCCAGACAACUGCCAUGAAUAGACAUACAGUAAUUUGCCUGAUUUUAAUGCUCUGCUUUGCUGUUUACCUCUGCAGCGCUGGUAGCUCAGGUACAACUUGUUUCAACCAUGUUAAGCUGUUCACGGGCGUCGAUGGAAAUCGUCCAUGAAUGGCUCGCACCACGCUGUCUCUGAGCAAUGCUACCAAAAGUGCCCGACACUUUGAAGAAUCCGCG